AUUGAACGCUGGCGGCAUGCUUUACACAUGCAAGUCGAACGGUAACAGGCCUUCGGGUGCUGACGAGUGGCGAACGGGUGAGUAAUGCAUCGGAACGUGCCCAAUUGUGGGGGAUAACGUAGCGAAAGUUACGCUAAUACCGCAUAAGCCCUGAGGGGGAAAUGGGGGACCGCAAGGCCUCACGCGAAUGGAGCGGCCGAUGUCAGAUUAGCUAGUUGGUGGGGUAAAGGCUCACCAAGGCGACGAUCUGUAGCGGGUCUGAGAGGAUGAUCCGCCACACUGGGACUGAGACACGGCCCAGACUCCUACGGGAGGCAGCAGUGGGGAAUUUUGGACAAUGGGCGCAAGCCUGAUCCAGCCAUGCCGCGUGCGGGACGAAGGCCUUCGGUUGUAAACCGCUUCUAGCCGGAAGAAAGUACGCUGUUUUAAUACUAGACAGU
rnacentral:rRNA from 1 species